UUCAAUGUCAUGAACUGUACUUAAAAAGGUUUACAUCUGCCUAAAUGCUAUAAAGAUUGAAGCGAGGAGAGAAGAAGAGCUUUAAUUUUUAAGUGUUCCUCCAUCUUCAGAGUUUCUACCGCAUAGUUCAGUAUGGAAACAGGUAAUGCAGCUGGAUCCUCGGGCUCGAAACGCAAUCGCAGGGCCCACGACUUUGGAUCCUCGGGCUCGAAACACAAUCGCAAGGUCCACAACGCUGGAUCCUCGGGCUCGAAAUGCAAUCGCAGGGCCCACGGCACCAUGACCCGCUCCAAGUGUCUGCGAGGUGACGGCGACGAGGCGCGGCCGUCGCGGAAAUCUGCUAUCUCCAGAAAUUACCUGAAUUUCUUCCAAAGUAGAUUGCCUCGAUGUUUAAUGUACUACUACAACAAGCAGUGGAGAGACUUCCCUGAGGACGUGACGGUGUCACUUGUCGAAGCAUUCAGAGCCAAGCGAUCAGCUGUUGAGGUGUUGAUGGGGGAGUCCACAUACCUAGUCGAUCUUCUCAACAUGAUCUUGAUUGACUUGAAAGGCGGGAUGCACCGAUCUGUUGCUUGGAUUGACGAGUCUGGGAAGUGCUUUUUCCCAGUGGACGAUGGUUGUGGGCCUUGCAAUAGCCAAAAGAUCAAGUUACAUCUUGCCGAUGGGGGGCAAGGGGAAGAUAAUCCGGUGCCCGUGGAUCGCAACAUGGUUUCAGGUUCUAAGAAGAUUGAAGUGAAUCCAAAUGUUAAAGAAGAGAUUGGAGAAAAUGUUAUACCAUGCCCGGCACCUGCGGACAACAACAAGGUUUCAAGAUUUGAGGGGAUGGAAGUGAGUCAGAAGGUGAAAGGGAUGUGUGUGGAAAAUGUUGUUCCACUCCUGGCAGCAGAGGGAAAUGAGGUUAGUCCACAUCCUGGAGAAGAUCAAAACAAGGUUUCAGACGUUGAGGGGAUUGAAGGCGUACAAAGGAGUGAGGAAAAUGUCAUUCCACUCCAACAACCCGAAAAAGACCGAAACAAGGUUUUAGAAAUGGCGGGAAAUGACGUGAGUCAGGGCAUUGAAGGAGCGAACGCGGAAAAUGUUAUUCCGCUCCCUGAAGAAAACCAUGACAAGGUCUUGGGUAUUGAAGGAAGCAAAGGGAGUGUGAAAGGACACCUCCCUCACCCAAAGCCCGAUAUAGUGAGUGCGGGAGAUGUCCUUCCGCACCCCGAACCAGAAAAAGUCCAUAACAAGGUUUCAGGCUCUACACCGAUCGAAGUGAGCUCAGAUGAUGAAGGAGAAAGUGUGGAAGAUGUCACUCCACACCUACAGCCCCAUGAAGUUUGCAAGAAGGUUUCGAACUUUGAAGAAGUUAAAGGAGCGAGCCCAGAAAAAAUCGCUUCACAAGAAGUCCUUAACAAGGUUUCAGGCUUUAAAGGGAUUGAAACGAGUCCGGGAAUUGAAGCAGUGAACACUGAAAAUGCCGAUCGACGUCAUGGGCUGGACAAAGCCCAUGACAAGGUUUCAGGUUCUAAAGAGAUUAGAGCAAUUCCGGCGGUUGAAGUAGCCCAGGUGAAAAAUGUUGUUCUGUGCCAGAGUGGCAAAGAAGAACUUCACAAUGUUCCGCCCUUUCCAGAGAUUGACAUUGAAGUGAGCUCGAAGGUUAAACAAGUGGCCGCGGAGAAUGUGGUUCGGCCCAUGGAAGAUCUUACAUUCGCCGUUUUGUGGAAGAAAUUGGUGAGGUUGGCGAGAGACGAGCCAGAGUUCAUUGCAGUUCAGAACACUUUCUUGAUUGGGUUCAGUGGCCUCAUCACACCAAUAAACUUAGUUGGUAUUUAUCGUCAUUCACCGUCGGGUUCCGUUGCGAUCACACGGCUAAAAUCGUUCGAGAAACAGAUAGAGAUCACAAAGAGGUAUAGGGGCUAUGCUAAUGUCUGUGGUGGAUGGCAUGGAUCAUCUAGAGAGGGUGUGAUUGGGAUAAUACUUUAUGGGUUCUGGAAUUGCGGCGAGCCGGUGGGUGGAUCAGGUUACAGCAACGGCAUUUAUCUCUCGCCUGAUGAACAUGCUCAUAUCAGUGCAUGCUACUCGGAGUUAGACAACAAUGGCAUACAACACAUGGUGUUUUGCCGAGCAAUUAUGGGAAAUAUGGAACAAGUUCGACAUGGAACCAAUCAAUACCAUCCCAGCUCUGAGAAUUUUGAUAGUGGCGUCGAUGAUCUUCAGGACCCAAAGCAUUAUGUCGUGUGGCCCACCCACAUGAAUACACACAUACAUCCUGAGUAUGUCGUCAGCUUCACACUGCCUCCUUCUGUCCGAGAUUAUUUUCUUUCCACAGAGCAUUUGGCUGGGAAAAGAGAUGGUCAGGGCACUGUCGAUGUUGUGAUGAGAAGUGGUCAGCAAGUGAUCCUAGCCCUACAUCCUGAAACCAACGGCCAAAACACAGCCUCAGAACCGAAAUGGCCCACCUCGGGUUGGUUGCCGUUCACGAUGCUGUUCCACGCGAUUGAACAUCGCCUUUCGCCUUUCGUCAAAGACAUGCUGCUCUACAACUGUAACUUGUACAAGAGCAAGAGAAUUACUCGCAAGGAGAUGAUUCAGAAGAUGAGAAUGCUUGUUGGAGAUAAUCUUUUGCUAUCUACACUGAAGAGACUUCAGCUCAAACCACCGUUCCAGGCCAUAGCAGCCCAGCAAAUGCCCAUGCGUAAUGGGCCCCAAGCCCGCGAGAAAUAGAAAUACGAGAUGUGCUGAAGUGGGGCCCACUAUCCAGGGUAUGAAAUUUCAUUGCCGGCAAAAUAAUAAUAAUAAUAAUAAUAAUUUAUGGUAUUUGUCGACUCUAAAUAUAAAAUAUUUUAAAUAAGCUUAAACAUGUUAUGAGUAUUAGUGGAUUUUCUGUUGCGUUUAAUAUUGAUAAUGUUGGAAUGGUGUUGAUGAUACUUGCUGGGCCAUUUUCUAAUGUGGGCCUUGUUCUCUG